ACAUUUUUUCAUAUUACUAUAAGAUAAGAUAAGAUGAACCUUUACUAAUCCCCAGAGGGAAAUUCAGGUGUCAAAGCAGCAACAUCAGCAAACAGAGUGAAAUGCAGGAGAGGUACAGGUAUACAACAAUUAUA